UACAGAGGGGGCAAGCGUUGUUCGGAAUUACUGGGCGUAAAGGGCGCGUAGGCGGCCGCCUAAGUCAGACGUGAAAUCCCUCGGCUCAACCGGGGAACUGCGUCUGAUACUGGGUGGCUUGAAUCCGGGAGAGGGAUGCGGAAUUCCAGGUGUAGCGGUGAAAUGCGUAGAUAUUGGGAAGAACACCUGAGGCGAAGGCGGGUUGCUGGGCCGACACUGACGCUGAGGCGCGAAAGCCAGGGGAGCGAACGGG
rnacentral:rRNA from 1 species